AGAGAUGUAGCUCAGUGGUUAGAGCGCCUGCUUUGCACACAGAAACUCCCAGGCUCAAUUCUUGGUGGCAUCUUCA